rnacentral:sRNA from 1 species
GACCUUGAGGUGCGAGGGACAAGGAUGGGGGGUGCUUGGUGACACCACCUGCCCAUCACAGGCUGGAUGCAGGGGGUGCCACAGAAAACAGAACAGCUUUAGGUCAUUAUGCAGAGGAGGUGGCCCCAAAACAGAUUUAUCUCCUAGAUAUCAUGAUGGGUGCCCUCAGCAGCGGUGUCCUGGCCUGACAGAGGCCAAGGAGGGGUCAAAGGGGCCAGGCAGAGAAGAGAGGGUCUCUCAGUGAAAGGAGGGGUUUGGGCAGUGCCCUGUUCAGAGCCAGCAGAGCUCAAGCAUCUACCACACACCCUCCAAUGCUCCCAUUGCAGGAGGAGUUUGUUUACGAGGACAUGGAGGCCCUCUGCAGUGUCCUGCGCACUCUGGCCACUGACAGUAACAAGUACCGUGCCAAGGCUGAUCGUCGGCGCCAGCGCUCUACUUUCCGCGCCGUGCUGCACUCCGUGGAGGGCGGUGAAUGCGAAGAAGAGAUAGUGCGCUUCGGCUUUGAGGUGCUCU